AGCCUCCUUCCUCGUGGCAGCAUCGUUCCACCUUCCUCUCGGCAGGUGCGCUUCUCCAAGCAUCGCACGGGGAUCUUCAAGAAGGCCUUCGAGGUCUCGCUGCUCUGCGACGCCGAGGUCGUGCUCCUCAUCUUCUCCCCCGCCGACAAGCUCUACGAGUACGCCUCCGCAAGCGAUGGAGUCAUCGCCCCCAGCUCUUGGUCUUGGAUCCCAUCGUCAGCAAGGGCGAAGCUUGAUGGCCGGACCUUCAUUGCCAUUGGUAUUGCCUCCGAACCAUUCAGUCCCGAGUCCAUCACCUCGCCGCCACAAGGAGAAUGCUCAAAGCUUGGAUCCCACCCCUCUCCCAUCGCAUGGUGAUCCAUGGUUCUCCGGACUACCAUUCAAUCGUGGGAGUCCUGAUCUCGCGACAGCAUACUGUGGGGGGUCCCCAGAGCCUGUCAUUUCACCUACAACAUCUGUUGGUGAGUAUGAGCUAUUUAUUUAUAUA